rnacentral:rRNA from 1 species
UAGGGAAUCUUCGGCAAUGGGGGCAAGUCUGAUGGAGCAACGCCGCGUGAGUGAAGAAGGUUUUCGGAUCGUAAAGCUCUGUUGUAAGAGAAGAACGUGUGUGAGAGUGGAAAGUUCACACAGUGACGGUAACUUACCAGAAAGGGACGGCUAACUACGUACCAG